AAGGAGUCCAUUGCUCUUGGGAUCAAGACCGACCCAUGAUAAAGCAGUGACACUAGAUUUGAACUGUGAGAGAGUUGUUAACUGCUUAACUGAAGAUUCAGCUGUGACAGCCCAUAUCUUGACAGUCUUAUCCCUAGAGCCUGUUGCAAACUCAUGACCAUGUGGGUUCCAAGAACAUGACCAUAUGAUUCUUCUGUGUGCCUCCUGCCUUGAUAUAAGCUCAUGGUGGAUUUCAUCCGAGCCUGAAAGGAUUCAGCAAAUAAUUUAUAUUAAAA
rnacentral:misc_RNA from 1 species